rnacentral:tRNA from 1 species
CCGGGUGUAGCUCAGCAGUAGAGCGCCCGUCUUGGGUGCGGGAGGUCGCAGGUUCAAAUCCUGUCGCCCAGA